CUACGGGAGGCAGCAGUGGGGAAUAUUGCACAAUGGGGGAAACCCUGAUGCAGCCAUGCCGCGUGUGUGAAGAAGGCCUUCGGGUUGUAAAGCACUUUCAGUAGGGAGGAAGGUAGUGUAGUUAACACCUGCACUAUUUGACGUUACCUACAGAAGAAGCACCGGCUAACUCCGUGCCAGCAGCCGCGGUAAUACGGAGGGUGCGAGCGUUAAUCGGAAUUACUGGGCGUAAAGCGCAUGCAGGCGGCCUGUUAAGUCAGAUGUGAAAGCCCGGGGCUUAACCUCGGAAUUGCAUUUGAAACUGGCAGGCUAGAGUCUUGUAGAGGGGGUAGAAUUUCAGGUGUAGCGGUGAAAUGCGUAGAGAUCUGAAGGAAUACCAGUGGCGAAGGCGGCCCCCUGGACAAAGACUGACGCUCAGAUGCGAAAGCGUGGGGAGCAAACAGGUUUAGAUACCCUGGUAG
rnacentral:rRNA from 1 species